rnacentral:lncRNA from 1 species
GGAUCCUGAAAUGCCCCAGGGCACCCCACUUGGACGUAGCUCCUGGAGGCUGAUGGCCUGAGACUGGGGAGACCAGGGAAGCACCUCCCCUGGCUGGCUGGAGAGGCCACCGAGCUGGAAAAUGGACCUGGAGGGAGAACGCACCCUGCCAGUGUCCUGGAGGAAGGCUGACUCCGGCAGAGACGAGUCAGAAAAAAGUAAUGGGAGCCGAUAAGAAAACAGAAGUUAACCCAGACGAUUGCAAAGGGGGACACCACGGCUGGAGGCCUGGCCCAGUGACCUCACAGUCUGUUUACAGCCUGACGGUUUUCCAAGGCCUGCUUCGGACACCACGUACUUCCUCCCCGCAUUUGCUCUCGCUUAGCAACCUGGUCACGGGCUCGCUGACUUCUCCCCUCAGUGAAUCAACUUCCCCCACGCUCAGGCUGCGGGCUCAUUCCCAGCUGGGGACUCCACCCUUUCCAAAACCAGGCAGCAUAACAGAGAACCUGGAUUUGAAGAACUGGUGGGUGGAAAAGCUGUGAUCAGAAGUGGAGGGUGGAAGCCCCCAGCUGCGUGGAGGAUUAGGCCCCCUCCUGGGGAAGAAAACGUGAUCAGAGCUGGAGCAAGAACCAGCUGGGGUGGGCGGUAGCACUUUUUAUUUCUGAGGCAAAUAAAAUCAAUCCCCUUUUAUCCA